AACGAACGCUGGCGGCACGCCUAACACAUGCAAGUCGAACGCCCCGCAAGGGGAGUGGCAGACGGGUGAGUAACGCGUGGGAAUCUCCCUUAUGGUACGGAAUAGCCCCGGGAAACUUGGAGUAAUACCGUAUAAGCUCGAAAGAGGAAAGAUUUAUCGCCAUAAGAUGAGCCCGCGUUGGAUUAGCUAGUUGGUGAGGUAACGGCUCACCAGGGCGACGAUCCAUAGCUGGUCUGAGAGGAUGAUCAGCCACACUGGGACUGAGACACGGCCCAGACUCCUACGGGAGGCAGCAGUGGGGAAUAUUGGACAAUGGGCGCAAGCCUGAUCCAGCCAUGCCGCGUGAGUGACGAAGGUCUUCGGAUUGUAAAGCUCUUUUGGCGGGGACGAUAAUGACGGUACCCGCAGAAUAAGCCCCGGCUAACUUCGUGCCAGCAGCCGCAGUAA
rnacentral:rRNA from 1 species